CUGAAAGAAAUCCACCUCUCCGGGUUUUACUAGCAGCUUGAGGAAGCGUAAGGAAAGUGCUGGGAAGGCUGGCUGUCUGCUACAGACUCUUGGCUUCAGGAAAGUCAGCUACGUUUCCUGAUUUGAAAGUCGUGGCCAUAUGAAGAAGAGGUCCUGUAGUGCCCACUGUACAGUGUCCCCUGUUUACCAGAACCUGUAAUUCCGAGGGCUGUUUGUUGUGCUGAUUCUUUAAGGGAUGGGAGGAAAGACAGACAACCUGAGAUGGACGUUGGAGGAGACUACUAUAAUUUUAAAUUAUGACCGUCAACAAUUUGUGGAGAAAACCAAAUUUCUUACUCUGCACUCCAUUUUUUAAAAGCUUGUUUAUGUAACAGAGAUGUUUCCUGCCCAGUGAUUCAGUGAUCCAUUAUUAACCGGGCUUGUUCAUUCUAACACAUUGUUUUAGGUGCUUAAUUGACUCAACCCUUCCAUACAAGAUAAAACUCGCUUAGGAACCCCUUUGACUAGUAGAGUAAUUACGCAGAUAAGAAUGUGAAUUAAAUGUUUGGGUGAAUAACAAUGAUAGUCACAGUGUUUCCAUUUUUUAAAAAUUGUUGACAGAGCAAUAAGAAAGAUCAAAAUAUUAUUAGAAAUGACUGAGAUAUAGGACCUUUAAGUAAUUCUUGAUAUAUGAAAGAAUAAGGUAAUCCUUAAAUAUUAUUGCUGUUGU